GGACCAAGUGUGCCGCUGCUUCCCUAACUGCAUUCAUAACUCUGCUAUAUAUCGUUCGACGAGUCUAGUCGCAGAGUCUCAACAAAUGACAGCCUGCUGUAACUGUAGCCUCUCUGGUCCCAGAUGUGAUGCAUGUCACUCUUCAAUGAGUCCUGUACAGAGUCCCAGCCUCUCUGUUCCAAAUUGUUUGCCCUGCUCUAUAGAGUAAAUGUGGAGUGCUUUAUAGGAAUUGUGGUGGGAUGGUUCUGGGGAAGGGCUGCAUUUCCACAGCAUGUGGGUGGUGGUGUGUCACCCCUACCUUCCAAUAAAAGGCUACCGCUCCUUCUCAGCCCUCAGCUUUGCUUUGUCUUAUAGUACAUGAGCUCCUGUACUAACCGCUGCUAUCCUGUACAAACCCACAGUGUUCCAGAGCAUGCUGCUAUCCUGUACAAACCCACAGUGUUUCAGAGAACGCUGCUAUCCUGUACAAACCCAGUGUUCCAGAGCACGCUGCUAUCCUGAACAAACCCACAGUGUUCCAGAGCACGCUGCUAUCCUGAACAAACCCACAGUGUUCCAGAGCACGCUGCUAUCCUGAACAAAC